rfam:Myotis lucifugus cont2.15117, whole genome shotgun sequence.
CCUUCGAUAGCUCAGCUGGUAGAGCGGAGGACUGUAGUCACUUCCUGUCUAGCUAUCCUUAGGUCGCUGGUUCGAUUCCGGCUCGAAGGA